GCCUCUGACCCUGAGCCCUGUGUUCCUGCUCAUCUCACCUGAUCUGGGAAGCUAAGCAGGGUCAGGCCCGGUCAGUACUUGGAUGGAGGCUGCCUGGGAACACCGGGUGCUUGCUCCC
rnacentral:rRNA from 1 species